GAAUAUUGGACAAUGGGCGGAAGCCUGAUCCAGCCAUGCUGCGUGUGUGAAGAAGGCCUUUUGGUUGUAAAGCACUCUAUGCGAGGAGGAGGAGCUCUUGGUUCAUACCCCAGAUGCUUGGACGUUACUCGCAGCAUAAGCACCGGCUCACUCUGUGCCAGCAGCCGCGGUAAUACAGCGGGUGCAAGAGUUAAUCGGAUUUACUGGGCGUAAAGCGCGCGUAGGUGGCCAAGUAAGUCAAAUGUGAAAGCCCCGAGCGUAACUUGGGAAUUGCAUUCGAUACUGGUUGGCUAGAGGAUGGGAGAGGAUGGUAGAAUUCCAGGUGUAGCGGUGAAAUGGGUAGAGAUCUGGAGGAAGACCGAUGGCGAAGGCAGCCAUCUGGCCUAAUACUGACACUGAGGUGCGAAAGCAUGGGGAGCAAACA
rnacentral:rRNA from 1 species